GAAUUGAGAAAAUGGUGUUUAUGCAAUAAAGUCCAAAUUUUUCAUCCAAUUCUUUCCAAACUUGUAAGGAUUUAGCAUGGUUCAAACAAGGGAAACAACUACGGUUUAUGCAUGUUCUUUUUAAUACAGAUCACUUUAAUUCAUUCAAAAUCUCAUUUUACAGCAGAGAUUCCAAAUCUGACCUGUAAAUGAGCCCCAUAUUUACUGCCAGUGCUAGGUUACCUUUUCCCAUUUGAUCAUUCUUAAGUAUUGGUCUUGUAAUGCUGCUACUGCUUCUGAUACUGCUACUGCUACUACUACUACUACUACUACUACUACUACUACUACUACUACUACUACUACUACUACUACUACUUCUACUACUUCUACUACUACUACUACUACUACUACUUCUACUACUACUACCACUACUACUACUACUACUACUUCUACUACUACUACUACUACUACUACCACUACUACUACUACUACUACUUCUACUACUACUACUAGUACUACUACUACUACCACCACCACCACCACCAUUACUACUUCUACUACUACUGCCACUACUACUACUACUUUUACCACUACUACUACUACUACUACUACUACUACUACCACUACUACUACUUCUACUACUACUACUACUUCUACUACUACUACUACUACUACUACUACUACUACUUCUACUACUACUACUACUACUACUUCUACUACUACUACUACUACAACUACUAUUACUACUACUACUACUACUACUACUUCACCACCACCACCACCACCACCACCAUUCACAGUGACAAAAAACGUAUUCACACAAUGGCUGCUACUACAACUUAUAGCCCAUAUAGGGGGGCAUGCAUGUUUUACAAACAGCCCUUGUUUCUAUGGGAUUUUAACCACAACUGUUCAUGUUUAUCUCCGACACAUAUUUUUAGGUCACCUGUCAUGAAGUGACACGGUGAGCUUAUGUGAUCGUGUGAUGUCCGUUGUGCGUGCCUGCGUGUGUCCGUGCGUCCGUCCGUCAACAAUUUGUUUGUGUAGACAGUAGAGGUCACAGUUUGCAUCCAAUCUUGAUGAAAUUUGGUCAAAAUGUUUAUCUUGAUGAAAUCCGGUUUGGGAUUGUAUUUGGGUCAUCUGGGGUCAAAAACAAGGUCACUAGGUCAAAUAAUAGAACAACCUUCUGUAGACAAUAGAGGUCACAGUUUUCAUCCAAUCUUUAUGAAAUUUGGUCAGAAUGUUUAUCUUGAUGAAAUCUGGGUUGGGAUUUUAUUUGGGUCAUCUGGGGUCAAAAACUAGGUCACUAGGUCAAAUAAUAGAAAAACCUUGUGUAGACAUAGAGAUCACAGUUUGCAUCCAACCUUUAUGAAAUUUGGUCAGAAUUCUUGAUGAAAUCUGGGUGGGAUUGUAUUUGGGUCAUCUGGGGUAAAAAUCUAGGUCAAAUAAAUAGAAAAACCUUGUGUUGACAAUAGAGGUCACAGUUUUCAUCCAAUAUUUAUGAACUGUGGUCAGAAUGUUUAUCUUGAUGAAAUCUGGAUUGGGAUUGUAUUUGGGUCAUCUAGAGUCAGGAACUAGGUCACUAGGUCAAAUCAUAGAAAAACAUUGUGUAGACAAUAGAGGUUAUAGUUUUCAUCUGAUCUUAAUGAGUCAGGUGAGCGAUUCAGGGCCAUCAUGGCCCUCUUGUUAUACUUAGAAAAUUGAAAAUUUUGGUUAAGUUUUGCGUUUAGGUCCACUUUUUUCAGAAAGUAUCAAUGCUAUUGCAUUCAAACUUGGUACACUUACUUACUAUCAUGAGGGGACUGGGCAGGCAAAGUUAGAUAACUCUGGCGUGCAUUUUGACAGAAUUAUGUGCCCUUUUUAUACGCCCGUAUAAAAUACGGGACGUAUUAUGUGAAACCCCUUGGCGGGCGGAAGGCAUCACUUUGUCCGGACUCUAAUUCAAAUUGUAUUCAUCCGAUCUUCACCAAACUUGGUCAGCAGUUGCAUCUAGUUGAUAUCUAGGCCAAGUUCGAAUAUGGGUCAUGCCGGGUCAAAAACUAGGUCAUAGGGUCAAUUAGUGCAUUUUCAACGGCGCCACUUUGUCCGGACUCUAAUUCAAAUAGUUUUCAUCCGAUCUUCACCAAACUUGCUCAGAAGUUGAGUCUAGACAAUAUCUAGGCCAAGUUGGAAUAUGGGUCAUGCC